UAUCUAUUUCUUUUAUCCCCUUCCUCUAAAACCGGAGUUAACACAAUGAACGGUGAUCAUGUCUCCGUUGCAGACUCCGACGAUAUGAAAUCACCGCUCUUGCCGGUCGUCCAUAAUGACGAGCCAACAGAAAACAAAACGGUGGGGCAACAUCUCCGGACAAUAUUCACGCCGAAUAAUUGUUACAUCGCUCUUGGUCCUCUUCUUUGCGCCGUCGUGUGUCUAUGCGUAAGGCUCGGCGGAGAUGAUACGAUGAGGGCCAGGAACAUGCUUGGCGUUCUUGUCUGGAUAUUCGAGUGGUGGUUGACGGAGGCCGUUCCGAUGCCUAUCACAUCCAUGUCGCCACUUUUCCUAUUCCCUCUCUUCGGAAUCACGCCGGCGGAUGACGUGGCAAGUUCUUACAUGGAUGACGUCAUCGCCCUUGUCCUGGGCAGCUUCAUUCUCGCUCUCGCCGUCGAACACUAUAAUAUCCACCGUCGUCUCGCCCUUAACAUAACUAUGGUGUUCUGCGUGGAGCCUCUAAACGCGCCACUGCUACUUCUUGGCAUCUGCGCAACGACGGCGUUCGUGAGUAUGUGGAUGCACAACGUGGCGGCUACUGUCAUGAUGAUGCCAGUCGCUACAGGGAUACUUCAAAGACUGCCCUCUUCAUCAGUAAUGGUGCAUCCUGCGGUGGGGAAGUUUUGCAAGGCGGUGGUGCUCGGUGUGAUAUACUCGGCAUCAAUUGGUGGAAUGAGCACACUGACAGGAACAGGUGUGAAUCUGAUACUUGUCGGGAUGUGGAAAAGCUAUUUCCCGGAGGGUAAUCCAAUCAGUUUCAGCCAAUGGUUCUUCUUUGGUUUCCCGUUAGCUUUGUGCAUAUUCUUGGUCCUUUGGGGUAUUCUAUGUGUGUUGUAUUGUCCUAAAGGAUCAGGGAAAGCUCUCUCUCCUUAUCUUCAUAAAUCUCAUCUUCGUAGAGAGCUUGAGAUGUUAGGACCAAUGAGUUUCGCUGAAAAGAUGGUCUUGUCUGUAUUUGGUGGGUUGGUUUUGUUGUGGAUGACAAGAAAUAUAACACAAGAUAUCCCCGGCUGGGGUAGCCUGUUCCACGGUCGGGCCGGGGAUGGAACGGUGAGUGUGAUGAUGGCUACACUGCUGUUUAUAAUCCCAAACAAAAUUAAAAAAGGAGAGAAGCUAAUGGAUUGGGGUAAAUGCAAGAAACUCCCGUGGAACAUAGUGUUAUUAUUAGGAGCUGGAUUCGCUAUAGCUGAUGGAGUACGCUCCAGUGGCUUAGCUGAAGUCUUAUCCAAAGGUCUAGUGUUUCUUGAAACAGCUCCUUAUUGGGCCAUUGCUCCAACCGUUUGCCUCAUCGCUGCUACCAUCACUGAGUUCACUUCAAACAACGCAACUACUACUUUGUUGGUUCCCUUACUCAUAGAGAUUGCAAAGACAAUGGGUAUCCAUCCUCUGCUCCUUAUGGUCCCUGGUGCCAUAGGAGCUCAGUUUGCUUUCUUGCUGCCCACGGGAACACCCUCUAAUGUCGUAGGAUUCACGACAGGGCAUAUUGAGAUCAAAGACAUGAUUAAGACAGGAUUGCCUCUAAAGAUCGCAGGAACCGCCUUUCUCUCUGUCUUGAUGCCAACCCUUGGGGCUUACGUUUUCGCAACAAAAGGAUGAGUUUAGUUCGUGGGUUGAAGCACAAGACCACAAACACUAUUGAUUCAUUGUACUAUAUUCUUACAAGGGGGCAUCAAGAUAUGUCAAUCACACCGGGGAAAUUUAAAUGUGCAUGACUUCUUCUGUUUUCGCGUUGCUACAAACACAAGAAAGAAGAAAAGAAAAGGAUCAUGCCUUGUUUACAUCAACAAUUGUAGUAGUUGGCCAUUGCAAAAUUCACACAAAUGAAAUCCAGUUUAUAUAUAAAGAGUGGUACUCCUUACUCCAUAUAUAGCCUUGGUUUGUAUAUAUUUAGGCUGUAUUCCAAAACAGAAUAUAUAUUACCUAAUGUCAGGAAAUCCAUGAGUUAAAUUUUAAAUUCUGAUAUGAUAAACUACACUUCAAUAUAUACUCAACCUUCUGUGGAAGCAUCUUUGGUCCAGUGAUUUGACUAAUGGUUCAAUUGCUUCUACAUUCGGAGGUCUAAAGUUCAAACCC